CCAUGCCCGAAACACAGUGCAAAGAACACCACAUAUCAGAAAACAAAAUGAUUUUGAGACUCAAGAACUUGAAGAAAUUUCAAGCAGUAAAAGAAAAAGAC